rnacentral:rRNA from 1 species
CCCCAUUGAGCUUUACUAUUAACUUGUAUUGUCAGAGCAAAGGGGAGGGGGACCCUACGGGUCUAGGGAAUACCCCGGAUCCGUUUUGCCCCCUGUCCCUAGCUUCAUAAUAAAAUUGUGGAGACUAUGUGGCAAAAGAAAAACAAGGGAUUUAAAAGAACGGGGGGGGGGAGGACCCUUAGGGGUCCCCCCCCCGGGACCCGAAGGGUCCGCCACGCCCCGUCCCGAUUUAUAUGAAAAACCACUCUUUUUAUUAAGAUUACUGUCUAACACCGUACAAGUAAGAUAGUUUGGUUGGGGCGACCGCCUUCGAAAAAGUAUCGAAGGCGCACAUAAGAUUAAUCAGGAGAAGGAUCCGAAGGAUCUUUUUCUCGGGAGUAAUGUCCCAAAAAAGGAGAUUAAUUUGACUGAGAGGGCAACAACCCGAACAGACGUCAAAGGAUAGACCGGGGGGGGAAUCCUACAGAUUCCUUCCCCCCCUUCUUUUGGCGGGUCAUAGUGAU